rnacentral:rRNA from 1 species
UUACCCAAUCCCGAUUCGGGGAGGUAGUGACAAUAAAUAACAAUACAGGGCCAACGGUCUUGUUAUUGGAAUGAGAACAAUUUAAAUAACUUAACGAGGAUCAAUUAGAGGGCAAGUCUGGUGCCAGCAGCCGCGGUAAUUCCAGCUCUAAUAGCGUAUAUUAAAGUUGUUGCAGUUAAAAAGCUCGUAGUCGGAUGUCGGGCUCGGGCAGGCUGUCGGCCUCUGGUCGGACGGCAGGCUCGGGUCUUUCUGCCUGAGGAACCCGGUUGCUUUCGGGCUGCCGGUGGACGCAGGUCGUUUACUUUGAAGAAAUUAGAGUGUUCAAAGCAGGCUAGCGCUUGAAUACAUUAGCAUGGAAUAAUGGAAUAGGACUUUGGUGCUAUUUUGUUGGUUUAUGGGACCGAAGUAAUGAUUAACAGGGACAGUUGGGGCCGUUUAUAUUUCGUUGUCAGAGGUGAAAUUCUUGGAUUUACGAAAGAUAAACUUCUGCGAAAGCAUUCGGCAAGGAUGUUUUCAUUGAUCAAGAACGAAAGUUAGGGGAUCGAAGACGAUCAGAUACCGUCGUAGUCUUAACCAUAAACUAUGCCGACUAGGGAUCAGUGGAUGUCAAUUUGCGACUCCAUUGGCACCUUGUGAGAAAUCAAAGUUUUUGGGUUCCGGGGGGGAGUAUGGUCGCAAGGCUGAAACUUAAAGGAAUUGACGGAAGGGCACCACCAGGAGUGGAGCCUGCGGCUUAAUUUGACUCAACACGGGGAAACUUACCAGGUCCAGACAUAGUAAGGAUUGACAGAUUGAAAGCUCUUUCUUGAU